UACGUAGGGACCAAGCGUUGUUCGGAUUUACUGGGCGUAAAGGGCGCGUAGGCGGCGUGACAAGUCACUUGUGAAAUCUCCAAGCUUAACUCGGAACGGUCAAAUGAUACUGUUGUGCUAGAGUACAGAAGGGGCAAUCGGAAUCCUUGGUGUAGCGGUGAAAUGCGUAGAUAUCAAGAGGAACACCAGAGGCGAAGGCGGAUUGCUGGGCUGAUACUGACGCUGAGGCGCGAAAGCUAGGGUAGCAAACGGG
rnacentral:rRNA from 1 species